rnacentral:rRNA from 1 species
GCGACACUGUGUGUUGUUGGGUAGGGGAGCGUUCUGUAAGCCUGUGAAGGUGUACUGUGAGGUAUGCUGGAGGUAUCAGAAGUGCGAAUGCUGACAUAAGUAACGAUAAAGCGGGUGAAAAGCCCGCUCGCCGGAAGACCAAGGGUUCCUGUCCAACGUUAAUCGGGGCAGGGUGAGUCGACCCCUAAGGCGAGGCCGAAAGGCGUAGUCGAUGGGAAACAGGUUAAUAUUCCUGUACUUGGUGUUACUGCGAAGGGGGGACGGAGAAGGCUAUGUUGGCCGGGCGACGGUUGUCCCGGUUUAAGCGUGUAGGCUGGUUUUCCAGGCAAAUCCGGAAAAUCAAGGCUGAGGCGUGAUGACGAGGCACUACGGUGCUGAAGCAACAAAUGCCCUGCUUCCAGGAAAAGCCUCUAAGCAUCAGGUAACAUCAAAUCGUACCCCAAACCGACACAGGUGGUCAGGUAGAGAAUACCAAGGCGCUUGAGAGAACUCGGGUGAAGGAACUAGGCAAAAUGGUGCCGUAACUUCGGGAGAAGG